UUUUUUUUUUUAGUUAGAAUGAUGGAGACGGUGUUGGGUUUUUUUCCCCCUCGGGAAGUCACAGCGCAAAAAAAGGACAUCAUUUCACCCAAACUCUGAAGCAUGAAGCAAAGAGCACAUCUUCCUUACACUAAGCAGCGGCAAUUUGAAUUACAGAAUCGCAGAGUCGGAAAGCCCCCGCUUGCCGGCGAGGAGGCGACGACGAGAAAGCGCAGGGGACGUCCACGGGGACGAUGGCGAAGAGACGAGCCAGCUCAGCGCGCCCACGCUUCCCGGCACCGCGGGACGGACUUUCCCCGCGCCGGGCAGCGACGCGAACCGCGCACCUUCCCACGGGCCGGGAGGGGCGGGGCGCCGCCAUGCAAAUCAGGCAUCGCAGCCAAUAGACGGGCGAGCCGGCCGGAGGGGCGGGGCGCUCCAAGGGGAUGAGCGCUCGCCUCGACGGCGCGGGCGCUGCGGCGGCAUCUCGGGGAGCGGCACCGGCACGUCGGGCACCGGCACGUCGGGCACCGGCACGUCGGGGAGCGGCACCGGCACCUCGGGCACCGGCACGUCGGGGAGCGGUACCGGCACCUCGGGCACCGGCACCGGCACGUCGGGGAGCGGCACCGGCACGUCGCGGAGCGGUAUCGGCACCUCGGGCACCUCGGGCACCGACACGUCGGGGAGCGGCACCGGCACCUCCGGGAGCGGCACGGGCGGAGAGACGCGGGACCGGCCGGACUGCCCUGCCCGGGGCUCUUACAGAGAAGAAGAGAGAAAAAAAACAUGAGUAAUUUGAAAAAUUCAAGCCUGCUGGGCCACCUAUAAUGGGCAUGGUUGGCAAGACAGGGAAUUUGGACUGAAAAGAUGACUAGUACUCUGCUAUAAGCCUAUUACAGUCCUGGAAAGAUGAAAACCUACCCUUAAAAAAGCCCAAGUCUUUUCCCCACUUAAUAUUAUCAAAUCUAUUAUUAGGCAACAGAUACCAAACAAAAAUAUUAAUUCUGGUCUAAGAUGAUUGUUUACAAAACAGAUAGUUACUAGAAAAUUAUUAAAUCUGAGACUCCAACUCUUAAACAAAAGGCUUCAGCUAAAUUUAACACUUUUUAAACCUAUGUAUGACUUGUAUUUUAGUGCAAAAGCAACACUCUAUUUGCCUUGGAAUGCAGUGUGUUCAAUUCAGCAAGUCCAUCUGAGUAGAUUUCCAUCAAUACUACAUCCUCUACAAGCCAUAUGGGAAGUCACUGAAAUGUGCUGACACAUGAAGUAAUUUUGUCUAAGAGCAGGUUAUUUCCUAAUUGGUCACCACUUGUUUUUUGGGUCAUGUCUAUUGUGUGUCAUGUGGUAAAAAUCACAUUCCAUUCAGAGCCAGGAUGAACCACGUGGGUUCCUUUUAGCUUCCAAGGGCGAGAACUACUGACAGAAAUUAUUUUUAACUGACUUGUUUUGAAAUAUUGUUGUUCCUCAAACACUUGAAGUAAAAACUUCAUCUUGUAAAGCCCUACUUAAGGCUGAAAAGAUUACUGACUAGACUCUUGGUGAGCCACAAGAUGGUAUUAACUAACAGCUGCCAUUUAUGAAUGCUGCAAGAAGAAAAAAUGUACACUGCCUUCCUUCCCAGCAGCUGGCCAUGAAAUAUGAAUGUUGUGCUGAGACUGCUUCAUCAUUUCACCCUUUGUUCUCAGACUCUGAUCACAGAAUAUCCUGCCUGAGCUGGAAGGAACACACAAGGAUCAUUGAGCCCAACUCCUAAGUGAAUGGCCCAUAUGGGGAUAGAGUGUGGAUAUACAAAUGUUAAAGCUGAGGUAAAAGUUAUAGAAAUAACUUUUUAUCCUUAGGUUAUUUCUACAUAGUUAACAGGCUUCAGAACAUUUGAAUAGCAAUGUUAGGCAAUGUUUGUAGGACUCCCUUUUGUAUGUAUAUGGGGCUAACAGAAAGGGGAUGUAUGCACAUACAUAGUUUUUGAUUUCUAGAUGGCUUUUCUUUCUUGUCUGAAAUCCCAUAUUGUGGCAAGCACAUUUCUCUCACUCUCAGGAUUUUUCCUAGAGGUGCACAGAGAGAAAUGGAAGAGAAAACAAUUUCUAUUUCUGCUCCUUGUUUUUCCUAUGUGGAAUGUGUUUGGAGAAUUGUUUACCUGGAGUGAGUGCUUGAUUGGAUUCUGGUGAGGAUUGUUUGAGCCUGAUGGCCAAUCCAAUCCACCUGUGUCUGGACUCUCGCGAGCAGGGUCACGAGUUAGUUAGAUUAGAGAUAGAGUAGGAGAAAGUAGUAUGUAGUUUUAGUAUCCUCCUUUCAUAUAGUAUAUUAAUGUAUUUUAUCAUAAUUAUAAUAAAGAAACAAUUCAGCCUUCUGAACUGAGUCA
rnacentral:lncRNA from 1 species